GAUGAACGCUGGCGGCGUGCCUAAUACAUGCAAGUCGAGCGAACAGAUGAGGAGCUUGCUCCUCUGACGUUAGCGGCGGACGGGUGAGUAACACGUGGAUAACCUACCUAUAAGACUGGGAUAACUUCGGGAAACCGGAGCUAAUACCGGAUAAUAUAUUGAACCGCAUGGUUCAAUAGUGAAAGACGGCUUUGCUGUCACUUCUCGAUGGUUCCGCGCCGCUUUAGCUAGUUGGUAAGGUCACGGCUUACCACGGCAACGAUGCGUAGCCGACCUGAGAGGGUGAUCGGCCGCACUGGAACUGAGACACGGUCCAUAGUCCUACGGGAGGCAGCAGUAGGGAAUCUUCCGCAAUGGGCGAGAGCCUGACGGAGCAGCGCCGCGUGAGUGAUGAAGGUCUUCGGAUCGUAAAACUCUGUUAUUAGGGAAGAACAAAUGUGUAAGUAACUAUGCACGUCUUGACGGUACCUGAUCAGAAAGCCACGGCUAACUACGUG
rnacentral:rRNA from 1 species